GGGUGCAUAAAGACAUCUGGUGCCGCCAAAAUAUGAAGGCGCAGGUGAAGAUGAUGGAUGAUGGCGUCCUGCGCUUCUGGUGAAGCAUGAUGUACACUAGGAAGAUACAUAGGGCAUGCCCUUUGCCAACCUUGGAUGGAAGCUUAGUGGAGUAGUUUCUUACAUAGUUCCUCUUGCUUUCAUCUCUUCUGUACUUUUCUUUUUCUGUCCCAGUUUCCUUUUGCGUUUAAUAUAUAUGGGUAUGUUUAUUCCUCAGUGGCCAGUAGGUUAAGGUGGAGAGCUGCAGUUUUUGUGCAGGCCCUCUGUAAGUUCAAUGUUGGGUCGCAGAUGAAUAAAGCUAUUCUGUUUAAUUUUCCUCUUUUCUUUGAGGUGUAAUUUUCCUUUCUUGUGGUACUUAUUGAU
rnacentral:lncRNA from 1 species